rnacentral:rRNA from 1 species
AGCGAACGCUGGCGGCAGGCCUAACACAUGCAAGUCGAACGAACCUUUCGGGGUUAGUGGCGGACGGGUGAGUAACACGUGGGAACGUUCCUUUAGGUUCGGAAUAACUCAGGGACACUUGUGCUAAUACCGAAUGUGCCCUUCGGGGGAAAGAUUUAUCGCCUUUAGAGCGGCCCGCGUCUGAUUAGCUAGUUGGUUGAGGUAAUGGCUCACCAAGGCGACGAUCAGUAGCUGGUCUGAGAGGAUGAUCCGCCACAUUGGGACUGAGACACGGCACAAACUCCUACGGGAGGCAGCAGUGGGGAAUCUUGCGCAAUGGGCGAAAGCCUGACGCAGCCAUGCCGCGUGAAUGAUGAAGGUCUUAGGAUUGUAAAAUUCUUUCACCGGGGAAGAUAAUGACGGUACCCGGAGAAGAAGCCCCGGCUAACUUCGUG